rnacentral:sRNA from 1 species
ACCAGCUUCUCUGAGCGGAAUUUACUCCUCUUUCACACCCGCGCACAAUGUUCGAAUUUUCCGACGCAAAACGCGUCUGUCGCGAAGAUCUACAAUCCCGCCGUUCCUCCCGCUCCCCAUCGCCUCUAGACACCGCCACAGCCACAUAUGCCGCACACGCGCUGCGAAACAUCUUCUCGUCAGUAGGAACUUAUACUCCUCCUCCUCCUCCUCCUCCUCCUCCUCAUCUACGACCAGCAAAUCCUACGGCAGACUUGGAACAUAUCCAGGAUGAAGAAGAGGAGCAGGAAUUCGAGUUCAGACUCUUUCGCGAACCGCUGGUGUGUGCGGAGAAAGGGGCAUCGGGACACGACCGAGUGGGCAGCGGCCAAACCGAUGCACCAAAGCAAGUGAACGGGAUGGACGCUGGCAUUCGGAAAUUUAGAAUCAGG